AAAAAAGAAAAAAAAUCAUUAAAUUCUUUCUUGCGCCCCGAACAAAACCCUUGAUUGAUUUCCCGCUCGUUCGGGGUUCAAAAACCUGGGCUUCGGAAGUUUUACAUCAGAUUUGAUUCAGCUAAAUCAAUCUUGUGCAGACCAUGGACACCGACGGCAGUGGAGUUGGUUCGUCGAAACAGGACAACCAACAAAUAGAGGGAAAUAGUUUAAUCCUUAUUUAUGCGGGUCAUUCCAUUAAUCCCCCUUGCUGGACAGUCAUCGGUAGCAUGCAGAUUGAAUGAGUGAAUCGGGCUUUGAAGCGAUGCCUUCAUCAGAGGCAGCCUCACCAGCGGGACGAUAUUUCGAAGAUGUCCCAGAAGACAUCAGAUACAUUCAAGAUAUCGCGACCCAACAGAAACCGGCCUUUGCGUUUCUGGUUCCGCACUUCCGCAGGUCGUAGGCAAUCGUUAUGAAAAUUCCGCUUCUGCCAGCAGAACAGCCCUACAGGAGAGCGGGAAGCGGAAAGCAUUAAGGAAAAGACACAGUGUAUAUUGUGAAACCAUUAAUUAAAAAUAAAUUUUGGAU